rnacentral:rRNA from 1 species
UACAGAGGUCUCAAGCGUUGUUCGGAUUCAUUGGGCGUAAAGGGUGCGUUAGGCGGCGCGGUAAGUCGGGUGUGAAAUCUCGGAGCUUAACUCCGAAACUGCAUUCGAUACUGCCGUGCUUGAGGACUGGAGAGGAGACUGGAAUUCCUGGUGUAGCGGUGAAAAUUGCGCCAGAUAUCAGGAGGAACACCGAUGGCGAAGGCGGGUCUCUGGGCACUACUGACGCUGAGAAGCGAAAGCAUGGGGAGCGAACAGG